UGUCUCAUGGGCCAUGUGGAAUGCUCGGAAUAUGAAUAAUACUCCUGCUCAGGUGAUUCGCAAAGUAUUUGCUUUUAUGCAUUCUACAAGUCUUCUUAUUCAAAGAGUGCGAGUUGGGGAACAGGCAUGGUACCGGGGAGCUAGUGGCACAUCUAAUACUAUUCUGAAGUGGGGGCGGCUUUUAUAAUUCGCGAUAGCUGGGGUGGACUGGUGCAAGCUGGAGGCAAAUAAUUGCCACCCUCAUCAGUUCCCUUUGCAAAGAUGGUAGCUGCUUGCUGGAUUUGAAUGCUAUCAAACUCUGGGUGGCGGGGGAUUCUAUUACGGUGGUCAAUUGGCUGUCCAAUAAUUUUUCUCAAGCCCCGAUCUCUCACCCUAUGAUAUACGAUUUGAGGGAAUGGAAAAACUGGUUACAAGUCAUUAUAGUCUCUCAUACUUACAGGGAAGACAAUUUUGCUGCUGACUUCUUGGCUAAACAGGUCACGAAAGCAAACUUUGUUAUUUAUGCCUAGCAGUCUGUUGGACCGGAGUUAGCUGAUAUUUUGGUGGCUGAUUUUUCCCCUGCAGUAUAGUAAUGUUAGUGAUACCAUUUUCGAUUUGUUCCUUGGGAUGCAAGACACACCUACAUACAAAAAUCAAGUUUUGAUUUUAGGUACCCAAGUUUUCUUGGAUCCUCUUUGGUUAGUCACAAUGGUUCCUUUUGGAAUCCAUAUUUUCUUCACAUUAGAAUUUUCAGAUUUGUUAGAAAAAUAUGUAUAGGAUUUGUGUCCUACUUUACCAUAUUUAAAGCAAGUAAUAUUU